ensembl:lncRNA
GAAUAAAGCCAAUGUCUAAAAUGUCAUUUCCAGAUAAUCAGAUUACAAUCGCAAUCGUUUUGGGUUUUGUUUUUUGUUUGUUUGUUUUACCUGAGCCGAAGGCAGACGCCCAACCACUGAGCCACCCAGGCGCCCCAAUCGCAAUCGUUCUUAAUCACACAUUGUAAGUUGGCGGUCAUGGCCUGUAAAUCAAGAGAGACCAGGAAAAAAAAAAAAAAGUCAACUUAACCAUUUCCCAAAUGUUAGUAACUCUGUAUAUUGUCAGUAUUCAGCUAAAACGGUCGGGGUAACCUAGCCAGCAACACUGAGACAGUCAGGCUGGAAUCCUGAACUCACUAAAAACCCCAGAUUGGUAAAAAUAACCGGAGUUUCCAUGAGAACGAGAUUGGGGGUCGGCCGGUGAGAGAACAAAGGCUGCGCGGCCCUAUCAGGGUCCACUGGGCCCGCUGGCCGCACUGGGGGCGAGGGCGGGGGCGGCGGUGGUGGUGCGUCCGUGUGGCGGGCUCCCCGGUGCCCCACGCCGCAGCGGCGCUGGUGCACCCCUCCGGGCCUGUCCCCGGGCCGCUGCAUAGGAGGGCGCCCGCGAGGCGGGAGGCGAGGGAGAAGGGACGCGGGGGCCGAGGCCGGACCGCCGCCCUAGUGAGAAAGCCACCAAGCGACUUGUGAAACACGCCGCGGGCAGUCACCCAGCAGCACCGGGAUCACGCGGCUCCCAGGACCGGCAGAAGCCGCCUAGAUAGAGCACGCGGGUCGGGAGUGAGCGCCGGGGACAGAAGGCGACGUCCCCUGCAGUUCCCGUCUCACAGGGGCCGCCGUCGCCGCCAGGCCCCGCCCCUAGCGCUUAUGUAAUAGGGGCGCGCUGCCAUUGGCCCGCGCGACCGGAAAGGGCGCAGGCGUGCGAGCAGGGGAGGAGCGCGGGAGGCGGCCGCAGCAGGAAGGCGCGUGGGCGGCGAGGAGCAGGAGGGCGCUGGGGCGACUGGGAGAGCUGCGCGGCGUGCGCGGGCACGAGCAUAGUGGCCUCCCCCGAGGCUGAGGCGGCGGCGGGCGCGCGCGGCGGCGGCGGCGGCGGCGGCGGCGGAGGGUGCGAGGCGCGGGCUGUUGUGCUCUCCUCUUUCCCCUCCUUGGCGGGUGGAGGAGGCCGAAGCGGUGCUGGGCGCUCUCCCUCUUUCUCUCCCUCCGGCCACCUCCCCCAGCCCUCUCGCGCUGCGCGGUCUCUCCGACGCAAGACUGUCCCAGCCCGGAUCACUGCGUGCAAAUGGUAUUGA